AGCAGCCGCGGUAAUUCCAGCUCCAAUAGCGUAUAUUAAAGUUGUUGCAGUUAAAAAGCUCGUAGUUGAAUUUCGGGAUCAAUAUGUUGGUCGUGCCUUGGUACGUACUGGCAUUAUCGAUUCCUACCUUCUGAAGAACCUCGAUGUCAUUAAUUUGGUGUCUUGGGGAAUCAGAACUGUUACUUUGAAAAAUUAGAGUGUUUAAAGCAAGCUAACGCUUGAAUACAUUAGCAUGGAAUAAUGAAAUAGGACGUUCGAUCCUAUUUUGUUGGUUUCUAGGAUUGACGUAAUGAUUAAUAGGGAUAGUUGGGGGCAUUAGUAUUCAAUUGUCAGAGGUGAAAUUCUUGGAUUUAUUGAAGACUAACUACUGCGAAAGCAUUUGCCAAGGAUGUUUUCAUUAAUCAAGAACGAAAGUUAGGGGAUCGAAGACGAUCAGAUACCGUCGUAGUCUUAACCAUAAACUAUGCCGACUAGGGAUCGGAUGAUGUUUAAUUUUUUAAUGUACUCA
rnacentral:rRNA from 1 species